CCGAAAGGAAAACAUGGUGGAAGGUGCUGAAAAAUGCUUUAUUUUAAGCAUAAAAAUGCUUCAAGAAGGCAAAAUACAAUAUACAAAAUGUAUUUAAAUGUUUCAAGGACAUUUUAGGACCGAAAAAAGGCUUACAAGAAGUAUACAUGUACAUAAUAUUGUGUGCUAGACAUGCAACUGUACAAAGAAUACAGCACAACCUUCCAGAUGCACUACUGAUAUGCACAGUAAAACCAUGUUAAUAAUGGCUGACCAUGACAUACCACAGUAUGAUGGGCUAAUACAGUCAGCCAAGGGAAUUAUUGCAAUGAUAUUCAGCUUGACAGCAAUCGUGAUACCAUUGAUGUGAGAUGUUAGUCUCACUAACACCAUGUCAAGCUACGGCCAUCAACCAAGUGGCAGACCUAUUCUUUGGUCUGCCAAGUACCUAAGAUGAGCUCAAGGAUGCCAAUUUAGAAGACAAGAAAAUGAAAUGAGAGAAAGAAAAAAAGAGUGGAAAGCAAAAUGAGAGAAAGGGAGUGCAGUCAUAACUAGAUUUUGAUAAGACUGCACUCCAUAAAAAAACUAGGGCAUUUUCAUGGGCUGGGGGCUGGUACUUCCUCUUAGGAUAAGUUAGGUUUUCUACUUCAAAGAUAUCUGCUAGAUUCAAGGAAAAAGAUCUUAGCAGCCAGUUCCCCAGCCCUUGAGUAGAUACAGGAGAGUGUCCUAUUUUGUUAGAGGUCAAGAGGAUAUGUUAUGGAAAWUCCAUACAUGUCAUCUCAGUUGCUUUUUGUCCACUAUUUUUGUUCCCUGCUUCGGGGUCUAAAAUUCAUAGAUUAGCAUUCUCGGAGAUUUUGUGUCUGUGUUUCAGGACACUCUCCUGUAUCUACUCUUCUCAUUGUUGAAAUCAAAUAAACUUCAUGCCUCCCACGAGGCCCUGCCAGCACCAAAAGAGAAGYCACCCCMGCAGGCCAAAUCUUUUUGGUAGUCUCGCUGCCCUGACUAGAGCCAAUCGGUUAUAAGGCCAAGACCAGCAAACUUUAGACUGCCCUGAUACUGGAGACUGACUGUAUGGAUGUCAGACCUCYACCCACUGCAGACUCCAGGGAGGAACUCUGCUGCCACUCAAGUCAGCAAAUAAGGUGAGGGUCAGUGCAAAUGUGAKUCUUGGGUGAUCCCACCCCACCACCCACUGAAUGUGCAUGACAGCGAUGUACUGGGUGAUCAGUAGGCUUGAAGUKAWGCUUCAUUCAGACUUCUCCAAACUAAGUGAUUAUCRAWCUGACAUGGAAGACUAAAAAUCAUUUUUUCUGGGAUAAUAUUGUGGGUUUAAAUGUUGUCGGCGACUGAUAAAAUGGCCUCUACCACAGAUUGUAAUUUAAUUGAAGUUUUUUCACCAGCAAAGUGAAGACCUCAGAUCCUUAAACCUAUUUAUAAAACCUAACAUAAUACUCCGAUAAUCUAACUGUUCUACUGAACUAUUAAUUUCCAAAGAAUGAAUGAGCAACACUGAUUUUCAAAUAUUUACAAUCAAAACAAAGUUGUCAUGUUGGAAUACAUCAUAAAUGUACAUAUAUCAACAAAAAUGUUUUAAAAAAUGGAAAUGUUGGGGAUAUACAUUAUAUUUUGUGAAAAAUCAUUCCAUUUAAAGCCAAAUUUUGUCAAAUGAAAUUUCAAGAAAAUGUAGGCAACAAUUUACGCAUAAGAUAAUAUUUUCUUCAAACAUUGGAUCAAACUUUGAGAAGGCAAAUUGUCACUACAUGAGCUUACAUGAAUUAACUCUCAAUUAUUUGAAUGUUAACUUUAAAACCUGGGAUCUGAGGUCUUCAAAGAAUUAUUUCUUCACUUUCUCUUACAUGAUUUUAAAAAUAGAUCAAAAUCUUACAUAAAUGAAACAUUAGCCAACUAAAUGAAUUCAGAAAUCAAAAUAUUAUGUGAURUAUAUUGAUGGCAUAUGAAUUUUAGUCAGUGAACUGAAAAUUAUUUAUUAAAUAAGUGAUGAGGUAACGAGGUGACCCAUGAAAAUAAGGGUAAAAACACCAAACCUUGGAAUAUUAAACUUACAACAAAGAGGUCAAAGUGACAACACUGCACCUCAAUGAAUUUCUCAGAAAACCAUUGCUUGAAUGUUACUUGAUACAAGACUGACAAGCUGACAAGAUGUUGAAGUAUCAAAGAUACGUUGUUUAAAUGGAAAAUUGCCAUCUUWAUACCAACAUAGGAACAUGCUGAGAAUUGAAAUGAACUAAAACUGUCAUAUGGUCAAUGUAUUCAUCCCAUUUUGCUAUAUUUGAACAAAAUGCAACCAAAUAUAGCUUUUGCAUACAAAUUGACCGGCCUUUUACUUGUCGAAAGUUUCUUUGCUGGUGAAAAAACUAUCUUAGGUUAGAUAUAAACAUUGAAGUUCUUUUUUUGCCACCAUUACUAAUAAACGUAAAUCGGCUGUACGUUUCUUGCUUCAGUGCCGAUAGAAGCCUAUUAUUUCAAGAAUACUGUAGUAUAUCAGUGAAUAAGUAAUUAAUCAAUUCAAUAUGGCUUCCAGGCUAAUAAAUUCAAUAUGGCUUCCAGGCUAAUCAAUUCAAAAUGGCUUCCAGUUAAUCAAUUCAAAAUGGCUUCCAGUUAAUCAAUUCAAAAUGGCUUCCAGCUAAUCAAUUCAAAAUGGCUCCCAGUUAAUCAAUUCAAAAUGGCUUCCAGGUUAAUCAAUUCAAUAGGGCUUCCAGUUAAUCAAUUCAAAAUGGCGUCCAGUUAAUCAAUUCAAAAUGGCUUCUAUAUUAAUCAAUUCAAAAUGSCUACUUAACUUAAAAUUCAACAUGGCUUCCAGCCAAAUUAAUUAAAAAUGGUGGCAAAGUUAAUUAAAACAGAUUUUCCCAAUUAAAUUGCAUGGUGGUAGUUGGCCUUAUCUGAUUUGACCUUCGCAUUUAACCAACUUUAUUAUCCCAGAAAUGUACUUUUUGUCUUCCAGUCAGAUUUGAUAAUCAUAACUUAUUGCGGAGUUGCCUGAAUGUUGCUAAGUGAUGAGCCUAUUGAUCACACAGUGCAUCACURUCAUGCAUAUUCAGUAGGUGUUGGGGUGGGAUCACCCAAGACUCACAUUUGCACUGACCCUCACUUUACAUGCUGGCUUGGGUGACAACAGAGUUCCCCCCUGGAGUCUGCAGUGGGUGGAGGUCUGACAUCCAUASAGUCAGUCUCCAGUAUCAGGGCAGUCUAAAGUUUGCUGGUCUUGGCCUUAUAACUUGGCUCUAGUCAGGGCAGCGAGACUACCAAAAAGAUUUGGCCUGCAGGGGUGGCAAGAGACUUGGUGCUGGUGGGGCCUCGGGGAGGCAUAUUUUUUUUAAGUCAAAUGGGCGUGUACCCUAUAGAGAUGGAAUACAUUAAAG